UACGUAGGGUGCAAGCGUUAAUCGGAAUUACUGGGCGUAAAGCGUGCGCAUGCGGUAAUGUAAGACAGAUGUGAAAUCCCCGGGCUCAACCUGGGAACUGCAUUUGUGACUGCAUUGCUGGAGUGCGGCAGAGGGGGAUGGAAUUCCGCGUGUAGCAGUGAAAUGCGUAGAUAUGCGGAGGAACACCGAUGGCGAAGGCAAUCCCCUGGGCCUGCACUGACGCUCAUGCACGAAAGCGUGGGGAGCAAACAGG
rnacentral:rRNA from 1 species